rnacentral:rRNA from 1 species
GACGAACGCUGGCGGCGUGCUUAACACAUGCAAGUCGAACGGAAAGGCCCUGCUUUUGUGGGGUGCUCGAGUGGCGAACGGGUGAGUAACACGUGAGUAACCUGCCCUUGACUUUGGGAUAACUUCAGGAAACUGGGGCUAAUACCGGAUAGGAGCUCCUGCUGCAUGGUGGGGGUUGGAAAGUUUCGGCGGUUGGGGAUGGACUCGCGACUUAUCAGCUUGUUGGUGGGGUAGUGGCUUACCAAGGCUUUGACGGGUAGCCGGCCUGAGAGGGUGACCGGUCACAUUGGGACUGAGAUACGGCCCAGACUCCUACGGGAGGCAGCAGUGGGGAAUAUUGCACAAUGGGCGGAAGCCUGAUGCAGCAACGCCGCGUGCGGGAUGACGGCCUUCGGGUUGUAAACCGCUUUCGCCUGUGACGAAGCGUGAGUGACGGUAAUGGGUAAAGAAGCACCGGCUAACUACG